UAAAAACAAAUAUACAUACAAAACUAGUGCUACCAACAUGCCGUGCGAGAAAUUACUACCAUCCUACAACAACAUUUUCAGCCAAAAUGCUGUUGCUUUUGAAUACAGAAACAUAAUAAGUAUGGAAGUCUGAAUUGUUAACGGUUUCUUACGUACUACAAAAGUUUUUAAAUGCAAUAUGAACAAAUUAACUUUCACAAAAUAUAGCACACGAGCACACUGUCGUGCUUCGACGGGUGGUGAACGUGCUCAUUUAACAGCCGUAUGUUAUUGUGAUCGUUACUUCAUAAAAAAAAUUCCCGGUUCUAAUAAAAAUUCCUGGUUGAUUCCAGGUAUUCCUGGUUUUUUUAAGAAAUCCUGGCUAUUUCCCGUAUUUCCCGAUUUCCCGGUUGGCUGGCCACCCUGAUAUACAGUAAAAUAUGAUUCUGAGGAGAGCAGAAGGAAGAAUAACUGUGGUUCUGAAUGACAUUUCCACAUGAGUAGAUGAUUACCUAGGAUAUUUUGUGUAACACCAAUGGCAAAUCCACUGUGAAUCAUGAAUAGAAAACACAAAGAUUUGCUUCCACUAUAAUCAAGGGAAAUUAAUUCAUGGCCCUCAAAUUGAUUUCUUUGGGUCUCCAUUCACUAUGGAAAAAUCACUGUACCCUGGAGUGUUCUCAAGGAUCCAAUUAUCGGCCGCCUACAGAGACUGUGGAUGAACUGCCUGAUCACCCACACUCGAAGAAGAAGAAAUUUUUUAUUCAAAGUUAUAAAAAAAUUGGAUGUCAAGCGAGGAUGACAGUAAAAUGUGUAAGGGUUUAUCCCGAUUUUACCUCGCCUGACUCGAAGAGGAAAAAGUGUGCUGUAAGUUCAAUACAUCAUACACAUCUCAUACACCACUUUCGUGCGUAGAAAUAUCAUUCGAGAAAAUUUCCUCCACAUGGGUGGAGCACUAUGAUAAAAGAAAGAGGCCUUUUUUUAAUGUAAACCCAAGCCUUCUCCACGAAUCAUAUUUUUAAUAAGUCCGUAGCCAAAUAAUUUGAAGUUCUCUGUAACAUUGGCGAUCACUUGACAGCCAGAAGCUUCUGUGCACAAUCACAAGAAAUAUAUUUUUAUAUUGAAUGCCUGUCACAGAUACUUAAAUUAUCAGUUAUUUUUGAAUUAGCAUGAAUAGGUACUAAGAAGUAUAUCAUACAUAUAUAUAUAUAUAUGUGUAUCCUAUAUAAUAAGUUAUUUAAUGUUUUGUGUACUGCACAAUAUAUACAUGCAAUAGUCA